GGCAGCCUCCAUGAACUAGCUGAGCAGUGGCCGUGCGGUCAACAUGAGAACGAAUCCAUUUGACUGCGGGAUGCGGGUUUCCCAAACAGAAGGAGUUGAGGAGGCAGUGGGAAAUAGCUGUAAGAAGGGAAGGUUUUUCAGCCAGUGAGUCGUCCGUGCUCUGCAGUGAACAUUCAAGCCGGAGGACUUUGACAGGACGGGUCAGCUUGUCAGGAUCAGAGAUGGAAGUAAACCAUCUGUCUUCAUUUCCCCGACUCAUCUCCAAAAAGAUGACUCAGUCCCGUUAUGUUGUUUUAUGUAUUAUUGUCAUUGUGACUUCUGGGCGUUAAUGGUGGCUAUGGUCUUGGUUUAGGAGCUGUUUUGAAGAGAUAGCAUUCCCUGAUGAGUAGCCACGUUUCUUUGUUGAAAACAGAUAUAUCAUUUUGUUUGGUAUUUUAAUAUGAAUAAAUAUGUACUACUCUCUUUCCGGUAAUGUGCACGUGGAGAGAGGAGCUAUUUUGAAGAUAUAGCAUGUCCUGAUGGGUACGUUUCUUUGUUGAAAACAGAAAAUACAUGGUUUGAAACCAGGAGAAGUUGUCCGCCUCCUUUUUAAAGAAGAAACGCAUAACGAAGACGAACACCGGUCACAGUUGGUCACAUAUUUUAAGUAACUGAAGACUGUACGCAUAAACCCUUGAAUAUAUAAACGACUCAUUUAAAUCGGUUUAGAAAUGCAAACGUUAUAUUGCUUUUUAUCCAAAAAGACCGCAACUUCCCCGUUUACUAGUAUGUGUUUACAGGACAGUCAUGCCCGGACCAAUAUGGCGGACGGACUCGGUCGAUGUGGCGUCUAUGUAUAUAUGUCUAUGGUAUUGUCGCAACAAAUUCUAUCCCCCUUACAAAACGUAUCCCCUCCGGGGUCAUGGUUCCGGUUCCGCCUAAUGACGUCAAAUCACAUUUAAAUAUAUAUUAUAUAUAUAUAAGCUCCGUGAAGUGAACCAGUUUUUUAUUUUUUAUUCUCUUUUAUUAUUUUAUUCAUUUUAUUUUAUUUGUAUUGUACUUAAAAUUUAGUUACCUCUUAACCCCUGUCAUUUGUGAUGUUAUUGUGAUACUUUUGCUUCACAUAUUGUGAUUGGUAUUGUUAUAUUACUACGUUGUCAAUAAAUACACUAAUAAAAAAAAUAAAAAAA